rnacentral:rRNA from 1 species
AACGAACGCUGGCGGCAUGCCUAACACAUGCAAGUCGAACGAGACCUUCGGGUCUAGUGGCGCACGGGUGCGUAACGCGUGGGAACCUGCCCUUAGGUUCGGAAUAACUCCCCGAAAGGGGUGCUAAUACCGGAUAAUGUCUUCGGACCAAAGAUUUAUCGCCUUUGGAUGGGCCCGCGUUGGAUUAGCUAGUUGGUAGGGUAAAAGCCUACCAAGGCGACGAUCCAUAGCUGGUCUGAGAGGAUGAUCAGCCACACUGGGACUGAGACACGGCCCAGACUCCUACGGGAGGGAGGAGUGGGGAAUAUUGGACAAUGGGGGAAAGCCUGGUCCAGCCAUGCCGGGGGAGUGAUGAAGGGCUUAGGGUUGUAAAGCUCUUUUACCCGGGAUGAUAAUGACAGUACCGGGAGAAUAAGCUCCGGCUAACUCCGUG